rnacentral:rRNA from 1 species
GAGUUUUGAUCAUGGCUCAGGAUGAACGCUAGCUACAGGCUUAACACAUGCAGUCGGAGGGGAAACGAUAUUGGAAGCUUGCUUCCGAUAGGCGUCGACCGGCGCACGGGUGAGUAACGCGUAUCCAACCUGCCCACCACUUGGGAUAACCUUGCGAAAGUAAGACUAAUACCCAAUGAUAUCUCUAGAAGACAUCUGAAAGAGAUUAAAGAUUUAUCGGUGAUGGAUGGGGAUGCGUCUGAUUAGCUUGUUGGCGGGGUAACGGCCCACCAAGGCAACGAUCAGUAGGGGUUCUGAGAGGAAGGUCCCCCACAUUGGAACUGAGACACGGUCCAAACUCCUACGGGAGGCAGCA